rnacentral:rRNA from 1 species
UACGUAGGGGGCAAGCGUUGUCCGGAAUUACUGGGCGUAAAGCGUGCGCAGGCGGUUCGCAAAGACAGGUGUGAAAUCCCCGGGCUUAACCUGGGAACUGCGCUUGUAACUAGCGGGCUAGAGUGCGGCAGAGGGGGGUGGAAUUCCACGUGUAGCAGUGAAAUGCGUAGAGAUGUGGAGGAACACCGAUGGCGAAGGCAGCCCCCUGGGUCGACACUGACGCUCAUGCACAAAAGCGUGGGGAGCAAACAGG